ensembl:lncRNA
CUCCUCACACGCUGGACUGCACUUCAUAAUCCUGCCAACACUUAAAUCCCUUUUGCUUCCUAGACUGUCCAGAGCAAUUGAUAAUGCUGAUGCUUUAGGAAGCAAUGCUGUGCUUUAAGUCAGUUUGGAACUCAUGUUUCAGCAAGGGCCCACUGCGUUCCCAGGCAUGGCAGAAAUCAAGUGAAACGUAAUGCAUAGAGCCUGACCACCUCUGGUCCCAAAGGCUUGCUUGGAACUCCUCACAGGAUGGAAACCUUCCUAUUUCUGCAUUAAUCCUUGUCUGCUGGCCAAGUUCCAACUCAGAAGAACUGUAGGAUGAAGAGAAGGUGGUGACGCAACACUGACCAGAGCAGAACCAAAGAGAAUGACAGACUCAUGAGAUCCUCUGAUCUGGUCCCCUCCCUCAGCCCAAAUCUCUGACUGAUACAUAAGGAGACACCACAAAGGAACAAUUGGUAUGAUUAGGUAACUGACUGCAUGGGAGAUGGCAAGAACUUCUCCUAGGUGAAGGACGAAACAGAUGAUUACUCUCCUCAGCAGAGAUGGAAAAAGUAAGGAAGCAGCAUAUGUUUUGAGAAAGACAAUGCUUCAGUAUCUUUCAGGUCCAAGUUAAACACCCUUUGAACAGCUAGAAAAAGAGGCCUUUGGAAUAGCAAGAUACAGUGCCAUUGGAAGCAAUAAGGAUAUGUAACAACAUACACAAGAACAGAUGUAAUCAUGUGGAGGGAUGAUAGAGGAGGAAAAGAGAAUUCUGAGAUACAAACCUUCCUAGAGAGAUGCAACUCAUAGAAGAUAUUUAUUUUAGGGAGGAAAAAGUAAGGACUCAUAGAAAAUCUGGAUUCAUACAUGCUUAUCUUGUUCUAAUACUGUAUUUUUAAAUAUAAAUGCUGAACUUGUUGUAAGGUCUCAACAUCCUAAGUAACACCAUGUAUCUUGAUGUAGUGGAUGAUUUUGGAUGCAAGCACCAGAAAGUGUUACCUCUCAUUGGCUUAAACAAUAAAGGACUUUAUUACCUUAGGAACAAGAAAUCCAUAGUUAAGGCAAUAUUCAGGAGUGGUAUGUCAGUGCUUCAACUCUGCUUCCCUGAGAUUCCAUUGGCUCUGUCUUCCUCUAUGCAUUGGAUCUGACCUCCAGUUGGCUACCUUCGUAGUGGCAAGAAGGCCACAUUAGUUCCAGAUGUGACAAUGAGCAAAAAUGGGCCACUCUUCAUUAUGUCUCUUGAAAGGGAGGAAGCAUUUCCCAGAAGCUCCCUACUUAGCUUUCCUGCAUAUCACAUUGGCCAGAAUUGUGUCACAUUCCCAUGCCUAUACUGUGAUUGACUUGGACUGUCCAAGAGUCACCCUGUGGGGCUGGGACAGCCUGCCUGCAGCACAUGGCUAGACAAAGGAAGACUGGUGUAGACCCUUGCUCAUAAUAAGGCUAGUAUAAUUGGAACUGCUAACAGAAGGCAACAAUGAAGAAUGGAGGCAUGGAAUCAACCUCAUCUGCUCCACGGUGUGAGGAUAACGUCGUACAUUAAAAUUCAACAAUUAAUUUAGGUUAAUGUUUGAUUUGGAGGUAACUUUAUGAUAUGCUGUACAUUUUUAUGAAUUUUAAAA